rnacentral:rRNA from 1 species
CCUUGACAUACUAAGAACUUUCCAGAGAUGGAUUGGUGCCUUCGGGAACUUAGAUACAGGUGCUGCAUGGCUGUCGUCAGCUCGUGUCGUGAGAUGUUGGGUUAAGUCCCGNAACGAGCGCAACCCUUUUUCCUUAUUUGCCAGCGGGUCAUGCCGGGAACUUUAAGGAUACUGCCAGUGACAAACUGGAGGAAGGCGGGGACGACGUCAAGUCAUCAUGGCCCUUACGGCCAGGGCUACACACGUGCUACAAUGGUCGGUACAAAGGGUUGCUACCUCGCGAGAGGAUGCUAAUCUCAAAAAGCCGAUCGUAGUCCGGAUCGCAGUCUGCAACUCGACUGCGUGAAGUCGGAAUCGCUAGUAAUCGCGGAUCAGAAUGCCCGCGGUCCGAUACGUUCCGGCCUUGUACACACCGCCCGUCACACCAUGGGAGUUUGUUGCACCAGAAGUAGGUAGUCUAACCGCAAGGAGGACGCUUACCACGGUGUGGCCGAUGACUGGGGUGAAGUCGUAACAAGGUAGGCGUAGAUGA